CGGACGGGUGAGUAAUGUCUGGGAAAACUGCCUGAUGGAGGGGGAUAACUACUGGAAACGGUAGCUAAUACCGCAUAACGUCGCAAGACCAAAGAGGGGGACCUUAGGGCCUCUUGCCAUCGGAUGUGCCCAGAUGGGAUUAGCUAGUAGGUGGGGUAAAGGCUCACCUAGGCGACGAUCCCUAGCUGGUCUGAGAGGAUGACCAGCCACACUGGAACUGAGACACGGUCCAG
rnacentral:rRNA from 1 species